ACUCCUGCGGGAGGCAGCAGUGAGGAAUAUUGGACAAUGGGUGGAAGCCUGAUCCAGCCAUCCCGCGUGCAGGAAGACGGCCCUAUGGGUUGUAAACUGCUUUUAUCUGGGGAUAAACCUACUUACGUGUAAGUAGCUGAAGGUACCAGAAGAAUAAGCACCGGCUAACUCCGUGCCAGCAGCCGCGGUAAUACGGAGGGUGCACGCGUUAUCCGGAUUUAUUGGGUUUAAAGGGUCCGUAGGCGGACUGAUAAGUCAGUGGUGAAAUCCGACAGCUUAACUGUCGAACUGCCAUUGAUACUGUUAGUCUUGAGUAAGGUUGAAGUGGCUGGAAUAAGUAGUGUAGCGGUGAAAUGCAUAGAUAUUACUUAGAACACCAAUUGCGAAGGCAGGUCACUAAGUCUUAACUGACGCUGAUGGACGAAAGCGUGGGGAGCGAACAGGAUUAGAAACCCCGGUAGUCCCA
rnacentral:rRNA from 1 species